rnacentral:lncRNA from 10 species
GAAUCGGAAUUUCUAACUGAAGCUGAAAUCAUUUGUGAUGUUGUAUGCCUGGUAUAUGAUGUCAGCAAUCCCAAAUCCUUUGAAUACUGUGCCAGGAUUUUUAAGCAACACUUUAUGGACAGCAGAAUACCUUGCUUAAUCGUAGCUGCAAAGUCAGACCUGCAUGAAGUUAAACAAGAAUACAGUAUUUCACCUACUGAUUUCUGCAGGAAACACAAAAUGCCUCCACCACAAGCCUUCACUUGCAAUACUGCUGAUGCCCCCAGUAAGGAUAUCUUUGUUAAAUUGACAACAAUGGCCAUGUAUCCAGAGGAUCAUUACAGAGACAGACUCUCCCGAGACAUGGGCCACACUGAUAGAAUAGAGAAUUUGAGAAAAAUCUGGGUCUUUCUAAAAACUGCUUUUUUAGAAAUGAGCCAGAAGCGGCCAGGCGUGGUGGCUCACGCCUGUAAUCUCAGCACUUUCGGAAGCCGAGGUGGGUGGAUCACCUGAGAUCAGGAGAUCGAGACCAUCGUGGCCAACACGGCACGUGACACAAGCUGACCUCAAGAGCUCCACGUUUUGGCUUCGAGCAAGUUUUGGUGCUACUGUUUUUGCAGUUUUGGGCUUUGCUAUGUACAAAGCAUUAUUGAAACAGCGAUGAUAUAAAAAGAAAUACUGUCCCUACCAAAAACAAAUACUUUUAUGUACAUUCUGAAUGCUUUAAGUUCUGCUAGAAUUAUUGAGAUAUUUAUACAUGCAGAGUUACUUUAUUAAUAUUUGUAAUUCAUGCAUAAGAGUAUUUUAAUGAUAGUUAUAACUGCAGUAUUGGCUAGCAUAUGGAAAGAAAACAGCUAACAGCCAAACUAAAAUGGCUAAAUUCCAGAGGCCAAAAGGGAAUAUUUUGUAAAUAUAUGUACAUAUUCAGGCAAGAUAUGGUCUCCCAAGCUGAGUUCUAGAAAUGAUGUUUCUAGACAUUUCUAAGUGGUAUUGUUAGUGCUCACUUGGCUCACUCUUCUAGGUUUAAGUUAGCCCAGAGAUUGUAUUUACUCAUGGAUCACUUUAUUUAUUUCACAUUUACUCAGAAUGAUCCUUUGGGUUCUAUAAGGACAUAAGGUACAAUUUGCCAUUGUCUCUCCAUUUUUAAAAACAUACAAGUCAGUGUCAGCUUACCAACAUGACAUUUUUUCAGUCAGUUGUGGUAGGCCAGCCUUGAAGCCAUCGCACAGUCUAGAAACUUGUGUAGCUGAGUGUGCAGCUCACCUUUAAGGGUGAAGUUAGGUAAAAGCAAUUAGCAGAGGCGUUAUCUAUGUGAUUAUGUUGCUUCCUUGUCAGUAUGUUGAAUUUUAUAGCCCUUUCAAUGAAAUAAAAAAAAAAUUUGUAUAUUACCAAUGUUUUUAGUUUAAAUAAAGAGUCACCCUUACUACUGUUGAAUUUCAUCCCAAGUGUAAAUCAUUCUAUAAUGGCUGUGUCUGUUAUAGUAUAUUACAGUAACUGCAUGUGUCACCAAGUGUUCUAUAUCAGGCUAGGAUAACCUAGAGGCAGUAAUUUUUUAAAUGAUAAAAUAAAUCUAAUGAAUAUAAACUCUCAUGAUAAACCUAUUUUUUCCAUCAUCAGCCUUUUCAAGUAUUU